UAUUAAAAAGAGUCGACUGCGUCAUCAGGUAGCAGCGUCAGUUGGUCUUUGGACACCAGACAGUUUAUAUGUGUGUACUGGAGUCGGCGUGAAUGAUGGCAACAUUAGCAAGUCGCCGCUGGGCUCUAGACUCACAGCUACUAGUCGCCAUCCAGAACAACGAUGUUAACAGGGCUCAGAAACUCUUCCAGGCGGGUGUUGAUACAGAUAUACGCUUCUCCAUAAACUCCAAGCAACGUCCGGCACUUUGUCUGUGUGUCGAAAAUAACGCUCCUGAUAUGGUUCAACUUUUGGUCAGUAUGGGCGUCAGUAUUAACCAAGGUGACUCUCUGGGACUCACCCCUUUGCACAUCACCUGUACCCAGGGAUACCCACACCUGGCCAGGCUACUAAUUAAUGCUCGGGCCAACGUGAAUGCAAGAACACAACAAGGGCACACUCCUCUCCACUUCGCUGCCAUGAGGGGAAACCAAGCUCUGGUGGAGAUGUUGUUAUUACAUAAAGCUGCUGUAGACAUUAUUGAUAGUGAUGGCUGCACCCCAUUACACCGUGCAGCACAGUCACGAAAUUCAGAACUCGUUGAAAUUCUCCUGAACGCCCGUGCUAGUCCCGAAUACGUCGACAAUCAGGGCAACACAGUGCUACACCAUGCUGUUAAUGUUAAUGGUGUUAAACCAUCUACAGUCAGAAUACUGGCACUGGCCCACCCUCCAGCAGUUUCUGCCACUAACUCUUGUUCGGAAACGCCAUUACAUGUAGCAGUACGUAGUGGGAGACAAGAUUCUGAGAGUGUCUUAGCUGCAGUGGUGGAGAUUGGGUCGAGGACAGCUCUAAAUUCCAAGGGGUCUCUAGGCCACACGGCUCUACAUGUAGCUAUACUGGAUCACCGUAUCAACCUGCUACGUCUGUUACUUACUGCUGGGGCUGACACCAACACAGAAGACCAUUUAGGUCACACGCCAUUGGUGUCAGCGGCCAGAGACGCCUCCUGGGGUGCAGUAGCGUUGCUUUUAGCUGCUGGGGCUCGAACCAAGAGACUGAUCCAAGGCGGCGACAUUGAAACUGAAAUCCGUGACUCAGGUAUUCGUGCACUGCUUAAAGAAGCUACACGACAGCCCCCGCAUCUCUCAAGUCUGUGCCGCCGAGCUCUGACAGACCAUUUGGGGCCUCAGGCACUGACUGUUCUCUCCAAGGCAACCCUCCCUGCUCAUUGGCUAGUGAGAUGGUAACACAAUGAUUCCUUGUUCUAUUUUACCUGAGAGAAGGCUGACUACACAACACCAUAGAUCUGACAUUCCAUGAAGGGCAGUGCAGAUACAGCAGCACAAGGAGGCAUUGUACAUGGCCAUCUUCACUUCCCCAGCUAUAAAAAUAGUGCAGUGGAGGGAGCUGACAGACUUAGCCCCCAUCCCCUUUCUAUGACCGCUGAGGAUGCAUCAACUGGUGGGCCAGAGACAUACAGGCUACAGCUGCUAGCUAGAUACACGCUGAUCUCAACAAUGCCUCAUUGCCUGUUGUAAUAAUUCCCAGAGCAGCAACAACAUAUGUAUGCUGCUUCAUACGCUUUUUAUUGUAUUAAUUUGUAAAGAAUAAGAAAAGAUGAAGAUUAAGAACAUUAUUAUUAAUUAAAAUCAUAAUUGUAGAGCAGCGUUUCACCACGAUCACCUGUGACCUGCAUUAAGUUACCGUAAUCUGUCUGAAAGAUGAACUCCAUCCAACAUUGCUUGUCAAAUAAUCUUUGACCUUUUGUACAACAUUGGUUUAUUAAAUUAUAUAAAUAUAUAUGCUGAUAACCACAAGGAAAGAAGAAAACACAAA
rnacentral:misc_RNA from 1 species